rnacentral:rRNA from 1 species
UGGGGAAUCUUCCGCAAUGGACGAAAGUCUGACGGAGCAACGCCGCGUGAGUGAUGACGGUCUUCGGAUUGUAAAGCUCUGUUAAUCGGGACGAAUGGUUUGUGUGCAAAUAGUGCAUAGACAUGACGGUACCGGAAUAGAAAGCCACGGCUAAAUACGUGCCAGCAGCCGCGGUAAUACGUAUGUUGCGAGCGUUAUCCGGAAUUAUUGGGCUUAAAGGGCAUCUAGGCGGUAAGACAAGUUGAAGGUGAAAACCUGUGGCUCAACCAUAGGCUUGCCUACAAAACUGUUGAACUAGAGUACUGGAAAGGUGGGUGGAACUACACGAGUAGAGGUGAAAUUCGUAGAUAUGUGUAGGAAUGCCGAUGAUGAAGAUAACUCACUGGACAGAAACUGACGCUGAAGUGCGAAAGCUAGGGGAGCAAACAGG